rnacentral:rRNA from 1 species
AAUGAACGUUGGCGGCGUGGAUUAGGCAUGCAAGUCGAGCGAGAACCCAGCAAUGGGGGACAGCGGCGCAAGGGACAGUAAUGUGUAGAUCAUCUGCCCUCAGGCCCGGGAUAGCUGCGGGAAACUGCAGGUAAUACCGGAUAACAUCUCCGGAUCAAAGGUGUGAUUCCGCCUGAGGAUGAGUCUACAUCCUAUUAGCUAGUUGGCAGGGUAACGGCCUACCAAGGCGAUGAUGGGUAGCGGGUGUGAGAGCACGACCCGCGUCAUUGGGACUGAGACACUGCCCAGACACCUACGGGUGGCUGCAGUCGAGAAUCGUCGGCAAUGGGCGCAAGCCUGACCGAGCGACGCCGCGUGCGGGAUGAAGGCCUUCGGGUUGUAAACCGCUGUCAGAGGGGAUGAAAUACAGGUGGGUUCUCCCAUCUGUUUGACAUAGCCUCAGAGGAAGGACGGGCUAAGUUCGUGCCAGCAGCCGCAGUAAUAC